GUGCUUGCUUCAGCAGCACAUAUACUAAAAUUGGAAUAAUACAGGGAAAAUUAGCAUGGCCCUGUGCAAGGAUGACAUGCAAAUUCAUGAAGUGUUACAUAUUUUU